rnacentral:rRNA from 1 species
UACGUAGGGGGCAAGCGUUGUCCGGAAUCAUUGGGCGUAAAGCGCGUGUAGGCGGUUCAGUAAGUCUGCUGUGAAAGUCCAGGGCUCAACCCUGGGAUGCCGGUGGAUACUGCUGGGCUAGAGUACGGAAGAGGCGAGUGGAAUUCCCGGUGUAGCGGUGAAAUGCGCAGAUAUCGGGAGGAACACCAAUUGCGAAGGCAGCUCGCUGGGACGUUACUGACGCUGAGACGCGAAAGCGUGGGGAGCAACAGG